rnacentral:rRNA from 1 species
CGGGUGAGUAACACGUGGAUAACCUACCUAUAAGACUGUGAUAACUACGGGAAACCGGAGCUAAUACCGGAUAAUAUAUUGAACCGCAUGGUUCAAUAGUGAAAGACGGUUUUGCUGUCACUUAUAGAUGGAUCCGCGCCGCAUUAGCUAGUUGGUAAUGUAACGGCUUACCAAGGCAACGAUGCGUAGCCGACCUGAGAGGGUGAUCGGCCACACUGGAACUGAGACACGGUCCAG